CAGCCGCCACGGUAAUACGGAGGAUCCAAGCGUUAUCCGGAAUCAUUGGGUUUAAAGGGUCCGUAGGCGGUCUUGUAAGUCAGUGGUGAAAGCCCAUCGCUCAACGGUGGAACGGCCAUUGAUACUGCAGGACUUGAAUUAUUGGGAAGUAACUAGAAUAUGUAGUGUAGCGGUGAAAUGCUUAGAGAUUACAUGGAAUACCAAUUGCGAAGGCAGGUUACUACCAAUUGAUUGACGCUGAUGGACGAAAGCGUGGGUAGCGAACAGGAUUAGAUACCCCAGUAGUCCCUGUCUUUUAUAC
rnacentral:rRNA from 1 species